rnacentral:ncRNA from 1 species
CAAGACGAUCCAGAAAGCGUAUUUUUUGCUCACGGCUCAGGUCAUUAACCUUGAAAAUUUGAGGGAUGACCUCAUUUAAUCUCCAGUAGCAUUUUGACCUGUAAUGGGAGGAAUCAUGCGUCUGGAUCGUCUUAC